GAUGAACUCCGGCGGAUCCUCGAUCAAGGGAACCCCCACUUCCUACCUGAACUAAAUACCCGGCGGGCGACCUUUUUUGAGAGGGCACAGUUUUAUGGCGUUUUCAAGAAGGUCAUGAGGCCUCCACUGUUGGACAAAGCACAGCAGUCAAUCGCCCUGAUGAAGGCAUUGCCAGACUUAUUUCCAUCACCUGUGGCUCCACCCAAGAAGUUGGGACAUGCAAGUGAGGCUUUGCUUCACAUCCUUAAGCCUACAGAAGACCCCAACACCUUUCUACGAGCAAGACCACUCUCCAGCCCGGUCGUUGUUGUCAGUGAAACUAACUGCAUACUAUCUAUUGGAACCACCCCUGUGUUGACUUUCCCAAAAGAGGAUAUCGAUGCUAGCGUAAUGCAUCUCAUGGCAUGCUAUUACAUCUUUCACCUUACAGAUCCCAAGUGCGUUGGGAUAUACACUCAUGUCUGUGCUGCAGACCGAGGUUCUCCUGGAUGCCAUCCACGACCAGGACAUGACUUCCUCAUAUAGGAAGGCUAUAGGCGAGUGGAAGAAAUUCUUAGCUUAAAGUGGAAAUGAGAGUGGAUAAUCUUGUUUUGGUUUGUUUUGAGGCUGUUUUUUUUUUGCCUUACGUGUUUUUUACUUUUUAGUUUGCUGUUAAGUUCAGCUGCAUGACCUUCCCAAAAAAGGAUAUUGAUGUUAGCACAAUGUAAAAUGGCAUGCAUUAUCUUUCACCUUAGAUAUCCUAAGUGUGCACACUUCUGUCUGCGCAAGUUCUCUUGGAUACUAUCCACAGCCAGGACAUGACUUCCUCAUGUAGAUAGAUGCAUGUUUUUCACUUUUUAGUUUGCUCUUUAAAAAAUCUU